ensembl:snRNA U6 U6 spliceosomal RNA
GUGCUACUCACUUUGGCAGCACAUGUACUAAAGUUGGAAGGAUACAAAGAAGAUUAGCAUGGCCCCUGUGCAAAGAUGACAUGCAAAUUCGUGAAGCAUUCUAAAUAUAA